rnacentral:rRNA from 1 species
GGAAUAUUGCACAAUGGACGAAAGUCUGAUGCAGCAACGCCGCGUGGAGGAUGACGGCCCUUGGGUUGUAAACUCCUUUUUUCAAGGAAGAGAAUGGACGGUACCUGAAGAAUAAGUCCCGGCUCACUACGUGCCAGCAGCCGCGGUAAUACGUAGGUGGCGAGCGUUAUCCGGAAUUACUGGGCGUAAAGCGCACGCAGGCGGUCUUUUAAGUUUGACGUGAAAGCUCUCGGCUUAACUGGGAGAGGUCGUUGAAGACUGGAAGGCUUGAGGCAAUGAGAGGGGUGUAGAAUUCCCGGUGUAGUGGUGGAAUGCGUAGAUAUCGGGGGGAAUACCAGUGGCGAAAGCGGCACCCUAGCGUUAGCCUGACGCUCAUGUGCGAAAGCGUGGGGAGCGAAC